rnacentral:rRNA from 1 species
UGGGGAAUAUUGGACAAUGGGCGAAAGCCUGAUCCAGCCAUGCCGCGUGUGUGAGGAAGGUCUUCGGAUUGUAAAGCACUUUAAGUUGGGAGGAAGGGCAGUAAGCGAAUACCUUGCUGUUUUGACGUUACCGACAGAAUAAGCACCGGCUAACUCUGUGCCAGCAGCCGCGGUAAUACAGAGGGUGCAAGCGUUAAUCGGAAUUACUGGGCGUAAAGCGCGCGUAGGUGGUUCGUUAAGUUGAAUGUGAAAGCCCCGGGCUCAACCUGGGAACUGCAUCCAAAACUGGCGAGCUAGAGUAGGGCAGAGGGUGGUGGAAUUUCCUGUGUAGCGGUGAAAUGCGUAGAUAUAGGAAGGAACACCAGUGGCGAAGGCGACCACCUGGGCUCAUACUGACACUGAGGUGCGAAAGCGUGGGGAGCAAACAGG